rnacentral:rRNA from 1 species
CGGGGGAGCAAGCGUUGUUCGGAUUUACUGGGCGUAAAGGGCGCGUAGGCGGCCACCGCAAGUCGACUGUGAAAUCUCCGGGCUUAACUCGGAAAGGUCAGCCGAUACUGCGGGGCUAGAGUGCAGAAGGGGCAACUGGAAUUCUCGGUGUAGCGGUGAAAUGCGUAGAUAUCGAGAGGAACACCUGCGGCGAAGGCGGGUUGCUGGGCUGACACUGACGCUGAUGUGCGAAAGCUAGGGGAGCGAACGGGAUUAGAUACCCCGGUAGUCCUAGCCUUAAACGAUGAAUGCUUGGUGUCUGGGGUUCUAUAGUCCCCGGGUGCCGUCGCUAACGCUUUAAGCAUUCCGCCUGGGGAGUACGGUCUCAAGACUG